GGGAGGCACCGCCCCGUAGGGGCCACGGUGGGGGGCUGAGCUCCCGGAGGCCUCUGGGGACCUGUGUCCUGGGGCCACCCCAGGUCCCUUCCACCGCAGGUCAUCCUGCACGUCGUCUUCCUGCUGCCCUGUUUGCCCCGUUUUCAUCCACCUUCAGGGACGAGUGCGAUUUAGUCGCAAAUUCUGUAACUCGCAGUCCCUACAUGAAUAGAUCCGGGACCAUGCGGUGGAAAGAGCCUGGAGAAGAUCCCCACGUAAGAAUGAGAGCCUGAGCCUGGAUCACAGAACCUCUCUCCCAAUCGCCGAUGAAGGGAACCAAAGAAUAGCAAAAUUCAGCAGCAGAAAGGAAGAGAAAGAAAGAACUAAAAAUUUAAGUACAACUUUGUGCUAUAAAUGUCAAGAACUGCACUCAGUGAACUAGAAGCCUACAGUGGAGUGUGGCGUCUGAAUCUCAUCUCUAGUCCCCCCAGAAUCCCCACGAGGGAAGGAAACCAAGCAGACAAGAUGCCAAGAAUCCUCAUGAAUGCUGUUGAUGCAAAGAAGACAUGAAUCCACAAAGUGAGAGGGUGAGCACAGAAGCAAGCCACCAGGGAAGUGCCUUUGAGAGGCGCCUAUCAGGAGUAGGAACAAGCCCUCCUGGCCUGGGACUUGGCCAGAGCUGGGAAGAAUCACGGGGCUGCCACUCUCUAGGACUUGCACUGAGUUGAGGCAAAGAUCCAAAAUCCAAGGACGUGUUUGUCAUAGGAAAGGGGCAGGCUUCUGACAAGGGUGGGGGAUGGUGGCAGAGUUUACCAGAAUCUCAGGAGAAAGCAAAGCCCACGCUUGCACGCAUCCAGGGGGUCAGCCCUAAUCCUCACUGCAUAUACGGGUCGUGGAAAAGUAGAUACAAAUACAAUCUUCCAGCUUUCAAACUCAUUCCAAUAGAGCGAGAAAGCAGGCAAGGAGAAUUUUUCAUAUAUUUGAGCAAAUAGAAGAUUUACAAAGAGCAAUCUGUUUUAAUAUGAAUAAGAUAGAAGCAGCAAGUCCACUAUCCAAGUUCAAGACUUUAGUGACGGGGGAAGGAAAAAAAAGGAAUUACAGUGUGGGUGUGACAGAUGAAGACCCUAAUCUGGAAGAAAAUGUAACCAAGUGGAAGAAAAAUCUUCCCAUGUGUCCCAUGUUGUAGAACAGAUUCAUAUGAACUGAAUGAAACAGAAUAAGGGCUGAAAAAAAAGAUGAAGUGGCACAACGGGAAGAGAAAGAUUAUAAAGCUAAGACAUCCAAAGGAAAAUCAGAAACAUCCGCCAGAGAAACCAAAUUAGAAAGAUCAAGAAAUCGACGAGGCACAAUUCACAGGGAAGGCUUGAAUCAACCACAGUGAAUGUAUAGGGGAAAAGACUGCACCAUUUAAGCAAUUGGAAAAGGAUUAGUUGGUAUUUCUUUAAAAAGAGACCUCCAGUGUUAAUUUUUUCCAAAGAUAGAAGGAAAUGUCUCUGAAAUAAGAAAACUAAAUCUGCAGAUCAAAGUUCUCCCUGGGUCCUGGGAAAAAGUGGCACAGAACAAUUCACACCAGUGAUAUCCUGGCCGUGUUACUGAACUUGAGGAGAAGCGGUGAAUCUGGUGGUCUCAGAGGCCUCUACAGUAACUCUCAAUGUCAGAUGAAAAGGUAGCAACAUUUACGAAGGUUUUGGGGGAAAAUGUGACCCAAGAUAUUUCUUCUCACUGAAACUGAUAUUCCUAAAUACACAAAUCCUCAGGAAAUGGGGCACUGGUGUGAAUUGACAUGUUUUCAAAUACAAGUAAUAGAAAACCUGA